rnacentral:rRNA from 1 species
GAUCAUGGCUCAGAUUGAACGCUGGCGGCAUGCCUUACACAUGCAAGUCGAACGGCAGCGGGCCUUCGGGUGCCGGCGAGUGGCGAACGGGUGAGUAAUGCAUCGGAACGUGCCAUUGAUGGGGGAUAACGUAGCGAAAGUUGCGCUAAUACCGCAUAUUCUGUGAGCAGGAAAGCAGGGGACCGCAAGGCCUUGCGCUCUUUGAGCGGCCGAUGUCAGAUUAGCUAGUUGGUGAGGUAAAGGCUUACCAAGGCGACGAUCUGUAGCGGGGUCUGAGAGGAUGAUCCGCCACACUGGAACUGAGACACGGUCCAGACUCCUACGGGAGGCAGCAGUGGGGAAUUUUGGACAAUGGGGGCAACCCUGAUCCAGCCAUGCCGCGUGAGUGAAGAAGGCCUUCGGGUUGUAAAGCUCUUUCGGCCGGGAAGAAAUCGCAUGGGUGAAUACCCUGUGUGGAUGACGGUACCGGAACAAGAAGCACCGGCUAACUACGUG